rnacentral:rRNA from 1 species
UACGUAGGGUGCGAGCGUUGUCCGGAAUUAUUGGGCGUAAAGGGCUCGUAGGCGGUCUGUCGCGUCGGGAGUGAAAACUCGGGGCUUAACUCCGAGCCUGCAUUCGAUACUGCGGUGCUUGAGGACUGGAGAGGAGACUGGAAUUUACGGUGUAGCAGUGAAAUGCGUAGAGAUCGUAAGGAAGACCAGUGGCGAAGGCGGGUCUCUGGACAGUUCCUGACACUGAGGCACGAAGGCCAGGGGAGCAAACGGG